CUUUGAUUGGACCACGCAUAACUUGGCGUGAUGUCAGACAAGACGUAGAAACAAAACUAGGAGGACCUUAUCCAGUGCCAGAUUAAAGGUAAGCAUUAAUUUAUUUUGUAGGGUUUUAAUUAAAUAAGAGUGGGUGGACAAGAUAAAUAGGGCAUAGCAAAGCAAAAGAAAUUUUGUCUAGGGAAGGGUCAUAGUUAUUAUCUAGUAUUGUUAUUAUUUUUUGAUAAUAGUAGUGCAUAUCUAAUUAAUAUUUCUUAUUAUUUUCUGUUAGGUUGUGCAUCUCAUGGAAUGGUGUAACACAUCUUUACAAGGAUACAGAGUCUAAAGCAACACCAGCACAUAAGAUGUAAGUGCCUGCACUGCAAAUAAAUCUUCUUUAUUCAGUGUGCUUCGUGAAGUGAGCUGACAUCAGCACUAGGGAACUGGCACAAUUCAGCAGAUCCACGGCAGCUCAUUGCUGUAGCAUGUCAGUGAGCAUAAAGACACACUGCUCUGUCACUAUGCAGCAGUAUCAUUGGCCAUUAAGAAUCCAGCUGGAACACAAGCUGAAGCUGUUAAGCGGACCUCAAAAUCUAGCACAUUUAGCAAAUUGUGUCUGUCUGUGUUUCUAAAAAGGAUCCCAAGCCUAAUAUCCAAAUCUUACAUGGUUUCCAAACUUUAAGGAAAAGAGAUGUCUCCAAAGAAAAAUGCAAGUUCGAUUUGAGCAGGGUCCUCUUCAACCUAUUGUUCCCGUAAGUUUUUUGUAAUUGUCCUAUUUAUAGUUAAAUCCCCCCUCUCACAAUAUUGUAAACCGC